rnacentral:rRNA from 1 species
UACGUAGGGCGCAAGCGUUGUCCGGAAUUAUUGGGCGUAAAGAGCUCGUAGGCGGCUUGUCACGUCGAUUGUGAAAGCCCGAGGCUUAACCUCGGGUCUGCAGUCGAUACGGGCUAGCUAGAGUGUGGUAGGGGAGAUCGGAAUUCCUGGUGUAGCGGUGAAAUGCGCAGAUAUCAGGAGGAACACCGGUGGCGAAGGCGGAUCUCUGGGCCAUUACUGACGCUAAGGAGCGAAAGCGUGGGGAGCGAACAGG